rnacentral:rRNA from 1 species
UACGGAGGAUGCAAGCGUUAUCCGGAAUGAUUGGGCGUAAAGCGUCCGCAGGUGGCAAUGUAAGUCUGCUGUUAAAGAGUCUAGCUCAACUAGAUAAAAGCAGUGGAAACUACAUAGCUAGAGUACGUUCGGGGCAGAGGGAAUUCCUGGUGUAGCGGUGAAAUGCGUAGAAGUACAGGAAGAACACCAGUGGCGAAGGCGCUCUGCUAGGCCGUAACUGACACUGAGGGACGAAAGCUAGGGAGCGAAUGGG